GCUGAACUUAAGCAUAUCAAUAAGCGGAGGAAAAGAAACUAACAAGGAUUCCCUUAGUAGCGGCGAGCGAACAGGGAUUAGCCCAAAACCGAAUCCUGUAGUGCAAGCUACUAGGAAAUGUGGUUUAUGGUUCUCUACCUACGGCAAAUUGGAGUUGCUUCAAGUCCACGUGAUUGUGGCUUCAAGCCCAGAGAGGGUGUAAGGCCCGUACAUGCAACACAAUUUGUCCUGGUGGAGUUCCUCGAGUCGGGUUGUUUGGGAAUGCAGCCCAAAUCGGGUGGUAAACUCCAUCCAAGGCUAAAUACAACACGAGUCCGAUAGUGAACAAGUACCAUGAGGGAAAGUUGAAAAGAACUUUGAAGAGAGAGUUCAACAGUGCGUGAAACCGCUCAAGGAGAAACGGACAGAACUGAAGGAUGAACGUCACAUUUGUGCUUCACUGUUCUCAUUUGCUGGGUGCUGAGACGGCUUAAACUGCUCGAUUCAGUAAGUGUUGGCCAGUGUUGUACUAUUGUGUAUGUUCUAACACCACGAUCAGUAAAAGUGUUGGUUUGCCUUUAGAGAGAAGGUAGCUUGGCUUGCCAAGUGUUAUAGCUCUCUUUAGCAACACCAGCAGAGUACUGUUUUGCUGUGCUAGUCAUUGUAACACAUAUGGUCAGAUAUGGUGCAAGGUGUUGCUUUUGACUCAUUAAGAGACAAUUGCUCUAUCCAAGUAUUACAUUUGGCUCUCUAUGUGAUGCAUCAGUAAUCUGUGGUGCUAUUGUAAGUAAUCUGUCCGACCCGUCUUGAAACACGGACCAAGGAGUUUAACAUGUGCGCGAGUCAUAGGGUUCUACGAAACCUGACGGCGCAGUGAAAGUAAAGAUUUGCUCUUAUUGCAAGUCAAGGUAGGAUCUCGGUUUUCAAUGUGUGUUCAACACAUGGGCUGAGCGCACUACCGGCUCGUCCCAUGCUUUAUCAAGUGGGGCGACGCAAGAGCGCACAUGUUGAGACCCGAAAGAUGGUGAACUAUGCUUGAGUAGGUUGAAGCCAGAGGAAACUCUGGUGGAGGACCGUAGCGAUUCUGACGUGCAAAUCGAUCGUCAAACUUGAGUAUAGCGGCGAAAGACUAAUCGAACCAUCUAGUAGCUGGUUCCCUCUGAAGUUUCCCUCAGGAUAGCUGGCACUCGAGAAUGAAACAGUUUUAUCCGGUAAAGCGAAUGAUUAGCAGUAUUGGGGAUGACAUAUCCUCAACUGAUUCUCAAACUUUAAAUGGGUGAGAUGCUCUACUCUCUUAAAUGGAGUUGGGCUUAACUGAAUGUGAGUGCCUAGUGGGCCAUUUUUGGUAAGCAGAACUGGCGCUGUGGGAUGAACCAAACGUCUGGUUAAGGAGCCAAACAUAACGCUCAUGAGAUACCACAAAAGGUGUUGGUUGAUAUUGACAGCAGGACGGUGGCCAUGGAAGUUGGAAUCCGCUAAGGAGUGUGUAACAACUCACCUGCCGAAUCAACCAGCCCUGAAAAUGGAUGGCGCUGGAGCGUUGGUCCUAUACCAGACCGUUACCGUGAAAAGUGAUGUAUGCGGUAACGAGUAAGAGGGCGCCGUGGUGAGCGUUGAAGCCUAUGCCGUGAGGUUAGGUGGAGCCGCCACGGGUGCAGAUCUUGGUGGUAGUAGCAAAUAUUCAAGUGAGAACCUUGAAGACUGAAGUGGAGAAGGGUUC
rnacentral:rRNA from 1 species